rnacentral:rRNA from 1 species
UACGAAGGGGGCUAGCGUUGCUCGGAAUCACUGGGCGUAAAGGGUGCGUAGGCGGUUCGCUAAGUCGGGUGUGAAAACUCUGGGCUCAACUCAGAGACGCCACCCGAUACUGGCGUGACUCGAGUCCGGUAGGGGAGCAUGGAAUUCCUGGUGUAGCGGUGAAAUGCGCAGAUAUCAGGAGGAACACCAGUGGCGAAGGCGGUCUCCUGGAGCAGACUUGACGCUGAGGCGCGAAAGCUGGGGGAGCGAACGGG